rnacentral:rRNA from 1 species
AGUGAACGCUGGCGGUAGGCCUAACACAUGCAAGUCGAACGGCAGCACAGUAAGAGCUUGCUCUUACGGGUGGCGAGUGGCGGACGGGUGAGGAAUACAUCGGAAUCUACUUUUUCGUGGGGGAUAACGUAGGGAAACUUACGCUAAUACCGCAUACGACCUACGGGUGAAAGCAGGGGAUCUUCGGACCUUGCGCGAUUGAAUGAGCCGAUGUCGGAUUAGCUAGUUGGCGGGGUAAAGGCCCACCAAGGCGACGAUCCGUAGCUGGUCUGAGAGGAUGAUCAGCCACACUUGAACUGAGACACGGUCCAGACUCCCACGGGAGGCAGCAGUGGGGAAUAUUGAAAGAUGGGCGAAAGCCUCAUCCAGCCAUACCGCGUGGGUGAAGAAGGCCUUCGGGUUGUAAAGCCCUUUUGUUGGGAAAGAAAAGCAGCAGGUUAAUACCCCGCUGUUCUGACGGUACCCAAAGAAUAAGCACCGGCUAACUUCGU